rnacentral:rRNA from 1 species
UGGGGAAUAUUGCACAAUGGGCGAAAGCCUGAUGCAGCAACGCCGCGUGCGGGAUGACGGCCUUCGGGUUGUAAACCGCUUUCAGCAGGGACGAAGGUUUUCUGACGGUACCUGCAGAAGAAGCACCGGCUAACUACGUGCCAGCAGCCGCGGUGAUACGUAGGGUGCGAGCGUUGUCCGGAAUUAUUGGGCGUAAAGAGCUUGUAGGCGGUCCGUUGCGUCGGAAGUGAAAACUCAGGGCUUAACCCUGAGCCUGCUUUCGAUACGGGCGGACUUGAGGGAUGUAGGGGAGAACGGAAUUCCUGGUGGAGCGGUGGAAUGCGCAGAUAUCAGGAGGAACACCAGUGGCGAAGGCGGUUCUCUGGACAUUUCCUGACGCUGAGAAGCGAAAGCGUGGGGAGCAAACAGGCUUAGAUACCCUGGUAGUCCACGCCGUAAACGGUGGGCACUAGGUGUGGGACCCAUUCCACGGGUUCCGUGCCGUAGCUAACGCAUUAAGUGCCCCGCCUGGGGAGUACGGCCGCAAGGCUAAAACUUAAAUGAAUUGACGGGGUCAUGAGCUG